rnacentral:tRNA from 1 species
GUCCCCAUCGUCUAGUGGUCAGGACCCAGGAUUUUCAAUCCUGUAACGGGGGUUCAACUCCCCCUGGGGAUG